CUUUUUCCUCAUUUUAAUAAACCUUUUACUUGGUAGACUCUUUAUUAUUCAACAUAAAUCCCUUAUUAGAGGCAGGAAAUCCUUCUUGUUUGACAAAUCCAUAACAUAAAACAUUUCAAGGCCAAUGCAAUGGUUUUAAAUACUUAAUGAUUUUACUUUAGUGAGGAUGUAGGCACUUGAAGAUGGGAGAGAAAAGGUCUCUGUCACAGAGAUGCCGAACAUUCCAUUUCUUCUGUCACAUCUUCAUGAAGACACCAUCAGUGGCAUGCCACAAGAGAAAGGGCUUGGACAGUGUACCUUUUAGUCAAAAAAACCCCCACAGAUUUCUCAUGCAUUUUAGUCCCACAUGGAAAAAACUUUUAUAGCAGCUCAUAAUUAUCAUGUUUGGGUAUACAUCGUGCUUUCUUGGUUAUAUCUGUUAAAUGGAGCAAGAGCAAGCAAAUUAACCACCUGAGGAUGAAACCCCUUCGGGAACUGCAACCCAUACUCAGGUAAACUUCAUUUGUUCCUGGUUUAGGUUUCAUAUCAUCUACCUAGGAACUACAUUUCCUGUAUCUUAUUAUCAAAGCUGCCCUGUUUUUUACACUUAACCUGUGUGUGUGCGUGUGUGUGUGUGUGUGUGUUUGUAUGUGUAACUAUCAAUUAUUGUAGACAAUGUGAAAUGUUUUUAUAAAUGAAAUUUAAAUGCUCUAAGAAAACUGCAAAUCAAGAAAAUUAAAAAAAAAACCUCUUGUAAGGUUUUCUGUUUUUUUUCAAAAUUAGACAUUCUUAUAGAAGGCGUGCCUAGAGUCAUUUUGUCAAAUAAAUAUUCUACUUUUAUUUUUCCAAAUAAAGGAAAGAUAGACUAUAGCCUUUGGCAUAGGUUAUUUCAAUAGGAAAUAAAGAUUAAAGCAGGCAAGCCCCAGGAGAUGUUUAAGUUGUUUUUGUUUUAGUGAAAACAUGAUUUUGUUUUCUUCCUGUUCUAUCUUUGGGAGCAGUUAAAGGUUUAAAUUAACCUGGAUUCUCCUGCACUUGUCUCUGAAGACGAAAUUAGCAGUAGAUAGCAGUGGAAAUGAGAGCUUAAGAACUUUUGCUGACCAGAAUCAAAACUAAUACCAGGUGAUCAUUCUAACAGCCAUUCCACUCCUAGUUUCAGAAAUCAAAUCAGCAGAAGAGAUGCUAAUCUUCUUUUCUCGUGAAAAUGAGCAACCUAGGCUCAAAAGGGAACAUUUAAUAAUAUGGACAAAGAAAGAAGAAAGGAUUUAUUCCUCAACUGGGUAGAUAAGAAAUGAAGACCAUUUUGUACUAGGGCAAAGAUGUUUCCUUAGAUGACCUUACCGUGUGGAUUUAAUUAGCAAAAUCUUUGCUAUGUAGUAGUCAUGCAGUUUGAACUCUUGUCACUUUGAUUCUCUGUAAAGGAAAAUGACACUUAAGGAAUGAAGGGCACCAAUUUAGAACCCUUCCAUGUGCGUUUCUUUCUUUCUUUUUUUUUUUUAACUUGUAGAAAAAGAGAAUCAUUUGUGACAAAGUACACAAGUGGUUAGCUGUAGAAUUAUAGAGCUGACAGAAACUACAAAUCAUUCAGUGUAAUUUAUUCUAUGUAUUGAUUUACCCAUGUCCAGAAUUUGAAACCAAUACAGAACAUUAGUAUUUCAAAUAGGGCAGAAGGAUGAGAAUUGCAUUUAUGAAAAUGAAAAAGAAUGUUUAUGGAAAAUUUACAGAAUAGGUUGGUCUAUUUCUGUCAACUACAAAGAUUGUUUACAAAAGGAAACCAAAAAUAAAAUGGCUUAUCCUUGCCAGCUUUUCUUGGGAAGUAUAGUAAUAUAGUGACUAUUGCCCUAAACGGAAAGUAGAGGCUUAAUUUCCAUUAUUGGUUCUUCAUUAAUUUAUUAAAUACUUAUAGGGUAACUCAUCAAUCUCUGUGAUUGUUUCUGAACAAGGUAAAAGAUUAUUAUCAUAAUUUCAUAGAAACAUUGGGAGGAUUAAUAAGGCAUUAUUUUUCAAGAGCUUUGAACACACUAUGAUUCUCUUAUUUUGGCAGAUAAAGUAGAUAAACAAACAAGUUAAGCCUCUCAGUACUACAUUUUUUUCUUCUUUUUAAAAUCACUAGAAGUUGCCAGGAGUUACCAGACCUUUUUUUUUUUUUAACUAUAUUAUUUUCUCAAAAAUCAAAUCCCCUGAAGAGAUAG
rnacentral:lncRNA from 1 species